rnacentral:rRNA from 1 species
GGGUUGUGAGGUUAAGCGACUAAGCGUACACGGUGGAUGCCCUGGCAGUCAGAGGCGAUGAAGGACGUGCUAAUCUGCGAUAAGCGUCGGUAAGGUGAUAUGAACCGUUAUAACCGGCGAUUUCCGAAUGGGGAAACCCAGUGUGUUUCGACACACUAUCAUUAACUGAAUCCAUAGGUUAAUGAGGCGAACCGGGGGAACUGAAACAUCUAAGUACCCCGAGGAAAAGAAAUCAACCGAGAUUCCCCCAGUAGCGGCGAGCGAACGGGGAGCAGCCCAGAGCCUGAAUCAGUGUGUGUGUUAGUGGAAGCGUCUGGAAAGGCGCGCGAUACAGGGUGACAGCCCCGUACACAAAAAUGCACAUGCUGUGAGCUCGAUGAGUAGGGCGGGACACGUGGUAUCCUGUCUGAAUAUGGGGGGACCAUCCUCCAAGGCUAAAUACUCCUGACUGACCGAUAGUGAACCAGUACCGUGAGGGAAAGGCGAAAAGAACCCCGGCGAGGGGAGUGAAAAAGAACCUGAAACCGUGUACGUACAAGCAGUGGGAGCACGCUUAGGCGUGUGACUGCGUACCUUUUGUAUAAUGGGUCAGCGACUUAUAUUCUGUAGCAAGGUUAACCGAAUAGGGGAGCCGAAGGGAAACCGAGUCUUAACUGGGCGUUAAGUUGCAGGGUAUAGACCCGAAACCCGGUGAUCUAGCCAUGGGCAGGUUGAAGGUUGGGUAACACUAACUGGAGGACCGAACCGACUAAUGUUGAAAAAUUAGCGGAUGACUUGUGGCUGGGGGUGAAAGGCCAAUCAAACCGGGAGAUAGCUGGUUCUCCCCGAAAGCUAUUUAGGUAGCGCCUCGUGAAUUCAUCUCCGGGGGUAGAGCACUGUUUCGGCAAGGGGGUCAUCCCGACUUACCAACCCGAUGCAAACUGCGAAUACCGGAGAAUGUUAUCACGGGAGACACACGGCGGGUGCUAACGUCCGUCGUGAAGAGGGAAACAACCCAGACCGCCAGCUAAGGUCCCAAAGUCAUGGUUAAGUGGGAAACGAUGUGGGAAGGCCCAGACAGCCAGGAUGUUGGCUUAGAAGCAGCCAUCAUUUAAAGAAAGCGUAAUAGCUCACUGGUCGAGUCGGCCUGCGCGGAAGAUGUAACGGGGCUAAACCAUGCACCGAAGCUGCGGCAGCGACGCUGAUGCGUUGUUGGGUAGGGGAGCGUUCUGUAAGCCUGCGAAGGUGUGCUGUGAGGCAUGCUGGAGGUAUCAGAAGUGCGAAUGCUGACAUAAGUAACGAUAAAGCGGGUGAAAAGCCCGCUCGCCGGAAGACCAAGGGUUCCUGUCCAACGUUAAUCGGGGCAGGGUGAGUCGACCCCUAAGGCGAGGCCGAAAGGCGUAGUCGAUGGGAAACAGGUUAAUAUUCCUGUACUUGGUGUUACUGCGAAGGGGGGACGGAGAAGGCUAUGUUGGCCGGGCGACGGUUGUCCCGGUUUAAGCGUGUAGGCUGGUUUUCCAGGCAAAUCCGGAAAAUCAAGGCUGAGGCGUGAUGACGAGGCACUACGGUGCUGAAGCAACAAAUGCCCUGCUUCCAGGAAAAGCCUCUAAGCAUCAGGUAACAUCAAAUCGUACCCCAAACCGACACAGGUGGUCAGGUAGAGAAUACCAAGGCGCUUGAGAGAACUCGGGUGAAGGAACUAGGCAAAAUGGUGCCGUAACUUCGGGAGAAGGCACGCUGAUAUGUAGGUGAAGUCCCUCGCGGAUGGAGCUGAAAUCAGUCGAAGAUACCAGCUGGCUGCAACUGUUUAUUAAAAACACAGCACUGUGCAAACACGAAAGUGGACGUAUACGGUGUGACGCCUGCCCGGUGCCGGAAGGUUAAUUGAUGGGGUUAGCGCAAGCGAAGCUCUUGAUCGAAGCCCCGGUAAACGGCGGCCGUAACUAUAACGGUCCUAAGGUAGCGAAAUUCCUUGUCGGGUAAGUUCCGACCUGCACGAAUGGCGUAAUGAUGGCCAGGCUGUCUCCACCCGAGACUCAGUGAAAUUGAACUCGCUGUGAAGAUGCAGUGUACCCGCGGCAAGACGGAAAGACCCCGUGAACCUUUACUAUAGCUUGACACUGAACAUUGAGCCUUGAUGUGUAGGAUAGGUGGGAGGCUUUGAAGUGUGGACGCCAGUCUGCAUGGAGCCGACCUUGAAAUACCACCCUUUAAUGUUUGAUGUUCUAACGUGGACCCGUGAUCCGGGUUGCGGACAGUGUCUGGUGGGUAGUUUGACUGGGGCGGUCUCCUCCUAAAGAGUAACGGAGGAGCACGAAGGUUGGCUAAUCCUGGUCGGACAUCAGGAGGUUAGUGCAAUGGCAUAAGCCAGCUUGACUGCGAGCGUGACGGCGCGAGCAGGUGCGAAAGCAGGUCAUAGUGAUCCGGUGGUUCUGAAUGGAAGGGCCAUCGCUCAACGGAUAAAAGGUACUCCGGGGAUAACAGGCUGAUACCGCCCAAGAGUUCAUAUCGACGGCGGUGUUUGGCACCUCGAUGUCGGCUCAUCACAUCCUGGGGCUGAAGUAGGUCCCAAGGGUAUGGCUGUUCGCCAUUUAAAGUGGUACGCGAGCUGGGUUUAGAACGUCGUGAGACAGUUCGGUCCCUAUCUGCCGUGGGCGCUGGAGAACUGAGGGGGGCUGCUCCUAGUACGAGAGGACCGGAGUGGACGCAUCACUGGUGUUCGGGUUGUCAUGCCAAUGGCACUGCCCGGUAGCUAAAUGCGGAAGAGAUAAGUGCUGAAAGCAUCUAAGCACGAAACUUGCCCCGAGAUGAGUUCUCCCUGACCCUUUAAGGGUCCUGAAGGAACGUUGAAGACGACGACGUUGAUAGGCCGGGUGUGUAAGCGCAGCGAUGCGUUGAGCUAACCGGUACUAAUGAACCGUGAGGCUUAACCUUACAACGCCGAAGCUGUU